rnacentral:rRNA from 1 species
GAUGAACGCUGGCGGCGUGCCUAAUACAUGCAAGUCGAGCGAACGGACGAGAAUCUUGCUUUUCUGAUGUUAGCGGCGGACGGGUGAUUAACACGUGGAUAACCUACCUAUAAGACUGGGAUAACUUCGGGAAACCGGAGCUAAUACCGGAUAAUAUUUUGAACCUCAUGGUUCAAAAGUGAAAGACGGUCUUGCUGUCACUUAUAGAUGGUUCCGCGCUGCAUUAGCUAGUUGGUAAGGUAACGGCUUACCAAGGCAACGAUGCAUAGCCGACCUGAGAGGGUGAUCGGCCACACUGGAACUGAGACACGGUCCAGACUCCUACGGGAGGCAGCAGUAGGGAAUCUUCCGCAAUGGGCGAAAGCCUGACGGAGCAACGCCGCGUGAGUGAUGAAGGUCUUCGGAUCGUAAAACUCUGUUAGUAGGGAAGAACAUAUGUGUAAGUAACUGUGCACAUCUUGACGGUACCUAAUCAGAAAGCCACGGCUAACUACGUG